CAAAAGCUUGGUCCUGGCUUUACUGUCAUCUUUAACUAAACUUACACAUGCAAGUCUCCGCACCCCAGUGAGAAUGCCCUCAAUUUCCUAAUCGGAAACGAGGAGCCGGUAUCAGGCACGCCCCCGCAGCCCAAGACGCCUUGCUUAGCCACACCCCCAAGGGAAUUCAGCAGUGAUAAAUAUUAAGCAAUAAGUGAAAACUUGACUUAGUUAAGGUUAAUAGGGCCGGUCAACCUCGUGCCAGCCACCGCGGUUAUACGAGGGGCCCAAGUUGACAGCCAUCGGCGUAAAGAGUGGUUACGGAUUACCCCUACUAAAGUUAAACACCCCUCAAACUGUUAUACGCGCCCAGGGGCAGGAUACCCUACCACGAAAGUGACUUUAACUCUCCCGAACCCACCACAGCUACGAAACAAACUGGGAUUAGAUACCCCACUAUGCCUAGCCGUAAACUUUGAUAGUAACUUACACCCGCUAUCCGCCUGGGAACUACAAGCGUCAGCUUCAAACCCAAAGGACUUGGCGGUGCCUCAGACCCACCUAGAGGAGCCUGUUCUAGAACCGAUAACCCCCGUUCAACCUCACCACCCCUGGCCAACCCCGCCUAUAUACCGCCGUCGUCAGCUUACCCUUUGAAGGUCUCAUAGUAAGCAAAACGGGCACAGCCCCAAACGUCAGGUCGAGGUGUAGCGUAUGAGGUGGAAAGAAAUGGGCUACAUUCUCUACUUUAGAGAACACGAAAGGUAUAAUGAAACAAGUACCUGAAGGCGGAUUUAGCAGUAAGAAGAAAAAAUGAGCGUUCUUCUGAAGCUGGCUCUGAAGCGCGCACACACCGCCCGUCACUCUCCCCAAAAAUUUACAUACCCCAGUAAAUAAAAAAAUCUCAAAUAAAGGGGAGGCAAGUCGUAACAUGGUAAGUGUACCGGAAGGUGCACUUGGACAAAC
rnacentral:rRNA from 1 species